AUAUUCUGGUUUCUCUUCAGAAUGCAAAAAUCUUUCAUCUUUUACUAAAGAUUUCCAUAGAAAAGACCAACUCUGAAUCUUAGCCCAAUAUUUUGAGACCUCAAAAUAGAAAAAAGGGA